GCAUAGACCUAAGUAAGAACGGAGGGCCCUUCCUCCCCUCCACAGAGACUGCGAGAAGAAAUGAACAGCAGAGGGGUCCACAGCCCUUCUGUAGCAUGACAGCAUCAGGCCUGAUAAUGCCUGCUUCACCAGGGAACUCUGAGUCUCCACUCUGAAUCACGGGAAAAUCCCAAUCCUAAAGGAGAAUAUAAAACACCCAGCAGAGCACGAGGAAAGUCCAAGCACACACGUAAACCUAUACACAUGCUGCUCAUCAUAAAGAAUAUCUUACUACGUAGAAUCCUGACCACAUUAACAGUGACCAAGAUUUGUGCAACCCAAACCGGAAUGAACGUAAUUGCAAAGGCAUGUGGUUCUCUGUGAUGAUAACUAGAAACAUGAAGACUGUUCCAGACUAAUAAUUAUAGAAGUUCAACACUGUUUUGAGUUCCUGUAAUGUUGUGUUAUUCCUACAACAAGCAAGUAAAAGUUUAAACUGGCAUGCAAUGAGUUCUAAGGACAUUCAUUUGUAAACAAGUAGCAAAGGAA
rnacentral:lncRNA from 1 species